UCAGGCCGGCAUGCAAAGGCGGUGCCUUUAAGGUUGUUAAAACGUGGACCUUGGGGUGUUGUGUUUUCCCGGAAUGCAAAGGAAAGUUGGCGCGGGCAAGGCGUGAAGGUACUCCGUGAUUGUGCGCUGCCGAACAUGCUCGUCUGCUUGUAAACCAACAAUGACACAACAUGACAACGGGAGUGGCGGACCGGUACUUUCCACAGGCGGUAUCGUACCGAAUAUGAUUCAUUGGUAUCGCGGUACUAUACUAAUACCGGUAUACCGUACAACCAUAGUGCUCUAAGGCCCUUGAGGCCAUAAAAACCACAGGACACUCAACGCUGACAUUGGGGCAUGCAGCAAAAGGGAUGUUCCUGCCAGUAGACCUUCAUUUUUGGACAUUUUGACACAACCCAAGAACACGCUGGCACCAGGGUAGGAUCUUGUCGGAACGUAGCAUCUCCCAGCAUGAGCGUGGAGCUGCAAAUGGACCAGUGGGCCGAGCAUCACAGCUGGCCUGCACCACUUAGCAUCCCGAUCACCCUCCAGCAGACAAUUCAUCAGGUCGUAUCCGAGGCUCUCCAGACCACUCGACCUCUCGACACAUCACAUAAUGGGCCUAAGUCCACAAGAUUCCCAGGUCAGAGGUCACAUUACG